rnacentral:rRNA from 1 species
CCUACGUGAGGCAGCAGUGAGGAAUAUUGGUCAAUGGGCGCGAGCCUGAACCAGCCAAGUAGCGUGAAGGAUGACUGCCCUACGGGUUGUAAACUUCUUUUAUAAAGUAAUAAAGUGAGGCACGUUUGCCUUUUUGUAUGUACUUUAUGAAUAAGGAUCGGCUAACUCCGUUCCAGCAGCCGCUGUAAUACGGAGGAUCCGAGCGUUAUCCGGAUUUAUUGGGUUUAAAGGGAGCGUAGAUGGGUUUUUAAGUCAGUUGUGAAAGUUUGCGGCUCAACCGUAAAAUUGCAAUUGAUACUGGCAGCCUUGAGUACAGUUGAGGUAGGCGGAAUUCGUGGUGUAGCGGUGAAAUGCUUAGAUAUCACGAAGAACUCCGAUUGCGAAGGCAGCCUACUAAACUGCCACUGACAUUGAUGCUCGAAAGUGUGGGUAUCAAACAGGAUUAGAUACCCCUGUAGUC